rnacentral:rRNA from 1 species
GAUGAACGCUGGCGGCGUGCCUAAUACAUGCAAGUCGAGCGAACAGACGAGGAGCUUGCUCCUCUGACGUUAGCGGCGGACGGGUGAGUAACACGUGGAUAACCUACCUAUAAGACUGGGAUAACUUCGGGAAACCGGAGCUAAUACCGGAUAAUAUAUUGAACCGCAUGGUUCAAUAGUGAAAGACGGUUUUGCUGUCACUUAUAGAUGGAUCCGCGCCGCAUUAGCUAGUUGGUAAGGUAACGGCUUACCAAGGCAACGAUGCGUAGCCGACCUGAGAGGGUGAUCGGCCACACUGGAACUGAGACACGGUCCAGACUCCGACGGGAGGCAGCAGUAGGGAAUCUUCCGCAAUGGGCGAAAGCCUGACGGAGCAACGCCGCGUGAGUGAUGAAGGUCUUCGGAUCGUAAAACUCUGUUAUUAGGGAAGAACAAAUGUGUAAGUAACUAUGCACGUCCUGACGGUACCUAAUCAGAAAGCCACGGCUAACUACGUG